rnacentral:rRNA from 1 species
GACGAACGCUGGCGGCGUGCUUAACACAUGCAAGUCGAACGGAAAGGCCCUGCUUUUGUGGGGUGCUCGAGUGGCGAACGGGUGAGUAACACGUGAGUAACCUGCCCUUGACUUUGGGAUAACUUCAGGAAACUGGGGCUAAUACCGGAUAGGAGCUCCUGCUGCAUGGUGGGGGUUGGAAAGUUUCGGCGGUUGGGGAUGGACUCGCGGCUUAUCAGCUUGUUGGUGGGGUAGUGGCUUACCAAGGCUUUGACGGGUAGCCGGCCUGAGAGGGUGACCGGCCACAUUGGGACUGAGAUACGGCCCAGACUCCUACGGGAGGCAGCAGUAGGGAAUAUCGCACAAUGGGCGGAAGCCUGAUGCAGCAACGCCGCGUGCGGGAUGACGGCCUUCGGGUUGUAAACCGCUUUCGCCUGUGACGAAGCGUGAGUGACGGUAAUGGGUAAAGAAGCACCGGCUAACUACGUG